UGAACAUCAAUAUUUCGAACGCACAUUGCGGUCCACGGAUACAAUUCCUGGACCACGCUUAGCUGAGGGUCGUUAACGUAACUCAUAUACUGCUUGCGUGGCCCUUCUCCCUGUGAGAAAGCAUUACGUACGAGCGAUUGUUGGACGUUCGUCGGAGUUUGUCGCGGACGUGAACUCUCUCGAGAGAGAGUAUUUAUGUACGGACCGCGCUCCCGGCGUUGUCUCAAACGAGAUGGUAAUAUCUGUGCGACAGGACUGAGCGAAAGAAAGGAAGAAGGGACACCGCAUGGGAGAAUUCUGUGGCGUGUGUCUGCACUACGCGUGCCGGUGGGUUUUGCCGAUCGUCGGAAACUUCUAGCACAGAGAUAGGGUUUGGGACGCGAAGAGCACCGCAGUUGCGGCGGUGUCCGGAUAUUCCCCUUGGACCUUGAAAAUCCAGGAGAGGGCCACGUGGAGGUGUCGCACCGGUUCGUACCCAUAUCCGCAGCAGGUCUCCAAGGUUAAGAGCCUCUAGUCGAUAGAUUAAUGUAGGUAAGGGAAGUUGGCAAAUUGGAUCCUUAACUUCGGGAUAAGGAUUGGCUCUGAGGAGCGGGGCGUGUCGAGCUUGGCCGGGAAGCGGGUCUGGCUGACGUGCCGGGCCUAGGCGAGGUGAACCUGUGGUAUCUCCGCAUGGGGAUCCGAGCUCGGUCCCGUGCCUUGGCCUCCCACGGAUCUUCCUUGCUGCGAGGCUUCCAUUGGCGGCCUGCCGUUGGCGGUCAUCCUCUUUGGCCGCCAUUCAACGCUCAGCUCAGAACUGGCACGGACUACGGGAAUCCGACUGUCUAAUUAAAACAAAGCAUUGCAAUGGCCCCCACGGGUGUUGACGCAAUGUGAUUUCUGCCCAGUGCUCUGAAUGUCAACGUGAAGAAAUUCAAAAAAAGCGCGGGUAAACGGGACAGGCCGUCGCUUGAGGUGUCGGAUUCAGGUUUCGAUCUGUUUCUAGAUCCGAGACGAGUCCCGGUGUAGACCACACAACGUUUAUCCACAGAACUGCUCCUCAAGCUGCCCAAUCCCACAAUUGUGGGCAACGGAUGCCGGGAGUAGAAUAAAGGUGUGGUAGAGAACUGCGUAAGCGGUCUCAGCGGCUACUCAUCUACGUGGUAUGAGAAGUCAUGCCGACAUGGGUGGGGUAAAUGGCACAGGGCCAUCACUCGAGGUGUCGGACCAGGUCAAUCUGCCUGGAACUAGUAUCCUAGAUGAGCCCCGGUGCAGACCAUACGACGGUUAUCCCUAAAGCUGUUCCCGGAGCUACCCAAUCCUACAUUUGUGGAUAACGAAUGCUAGGAGCAGCAAGGAUGUGUGGUAGAGAUUCGCCAAAGCGAUCUCAGCGGAUACCCAUCCAUCGUGGCGCGAGGAAUCGUGCAGACAUGGAUGCUAUAGGCUCGGGGAGGCUAAACUGUCCAAUGGCUGUCGGUACCCCAUAUGGUCUCGUAGUGGCAGCAACCACGCUGGAGGAACAAGUGGAAUCUCGUUGACUCAGGAUUGUGAUGA
rnacentral:ncRNA from 1 species